rnacentral:lncRNA from 1 species
AUUUGUAUUAGCUAGUGGAUAAACUAUUAGUCAUUAGGAUCAGCUCGUAUUAGUUAGUUUAUGAUAUAAUGUUAGUAUUAGUUCUUUAGAAUGUUUCAAUAUGCUUUUGGUAUUUUUAUUUUCCAGCAAAGUUAGUCGAUUAACUAAUAAAAUCGACUAUCUAAUACUUUGUAUUAAAACUGGAAUUUCCGCAAGCUAAGAUAUUCGAAUAUCUGAUUUAGAUAUGCGAAUAACCUGAUUUAGUUAUUCGAAUAACCUGAUUUAUUUAUUCGAAUAACCUGAUGACUGUUUACUAAGUUAGUCGAAUAACUAAUUAGUUAUUCGACUAACCAAUAUUUCGCAUUAAAACUGGAUUUUUUCGCANNN